rnacentral:tRNA from 1 species
GCCCACGUAGCUCAAUUGGCAGAGCAAUGCUUUUGUAAAGCAUAGGUUGUCGGUUCGACCCCGACCGUGGGCU